ACAAUUACUGACGCUGAGACGCGAAAGCGUGGGGAGCAAACAGGAUUAGAUACCCUGGUAGUCCACGCCGUAAACGAUGAGUGCUAGCUGUCGGGCCCUUGAGGUUCGGUGGCGCAGCUAACGCAUUAAGCACUCCGCCUGGGAAGUACGGUCGCAAGAUUAAAACUCAAAGGAAUUGACGGGGACCCGCACAAGCGGUGGAGCAUGUGGUUUAAUUCGAGGCAACGCGAAGAACCUUACCAGGACUUGACAUGCCUGUCACGGAUCGUAGAGAUACUUUCCUUCAGUUAGGCUGGACAGUGCACAGGUGCUGCACGGCUGUCGUCAGCUCGUGUCGUGAGAUGUUGGGUUAAGUCCCGCAACGAGCGCAACCCUUAUCCUUAGUUGCCAGCACGUAAUGGUGGGAACUCUAAGGAGACUGCCGGAGUUAAUCCGGAGGAAGGUGGGGACGACGUCAAGUCAUCAUGGCCCUUAUGUCCUGGGCUACACACGUGCUACAAUGGCUUCUACAAAAGGUUAACCCCUAAAAGAAGUCCCAGUUCGGAUUGUCCUCUGCAACUCGAGGGCAUGAAGUUGGAAUCGCUAGUAAUCGUAGAUCAGCAUGCUACGGUGAAUACGUUCCCGGGUCUUGUACACACCGCCCGUCACACCAUGGGAGUUGUUUCUGCCUUAAGUCGGUGAGCCAAUCUGGCAGCCGCCCACGGUAGGGGUAGCGACUGGGGUGAAGUCGUAACAAGGUA
rnacentral:rRNA from 1 species